UACGGGGGGGGCAAGCGUUGUUCGGAAUUACUGGGCGUAAAGGGUUUGUAGGUGGUCUGUUAAGUCAGACGUGAAAUCCCUCAGCUUAACUGGGGAACUGCGUCUGAAACUGGCGGACUUGAGGACAGGAGAGGAACGCGGAAUUCCAGGUGUAGCGGUGAAAUGCGUAGAUAUCUGGAGGAACACCGGUGGCGAAGGCGGCGUUCUGGACUGUUUCUGACACUGUAAAACGAAAGCCAGGGGAGCAAACGGG
rnacentral:rRNA from 1 species